AUUGAACGCUAGCGGCAUGCCUUACACAUGCAAGUCGAACGGAGUGCCGAACGGGUGCGUAAUGUAUAUGUACGUGCCCCGUCGCGGGGGAUAACUACGCGAAAUCGUAGCUAAUACCGCAUACUAUUGGACCGGCCGAUAUCGGAUUAGCUAGUUGGUGGGGUAACGGCUAACCAAGGCCACGAUCCGUAGCUGGUUUGAGAGGACGACCAGCCACACUGGGACUGAGACACGGCCCAGACUCCUACGGGAGGCAGCAGUGGGGAAUUUUGGACAAUGGGGGAAACCCUGAUCCAGCCAUCCCGCGUGUGGGAUGAAGGCCUUCGGGUUGUAAAGCACUUUUGGCAGGAAAGCGGUACCUGCAGAAUAAGCACCGGCUAACUACGUGCCAGCAGCCGCGGUAAUAC
rnacentral:rRNA from 1 species